rnacentral:lncRNA from 1 species
CAUUUAUAUGGAAAUAAUGCAGAUAUAACUACAUGGCGUAUGUAAGCCAUGUGUUUUAGCAAAUCCAUAAAAAUGCUUCAUUUAUGCUUUGAUGAAAGGCACAACAAUCUUCCAAGAACAUUAAUUAUUAAUUUGGGAAAUGUAGGCUUACUAUGUACUUAGCUCAAUACUUGAACAAUGUUUGGUAAACAACUCUCAAAGAAACAUUCAUUCACUCAGCAACUAUUUAGUGAGCAGCUACAAUGCUGAAAUUUAAGUAUCAUGCCUUCCUUGGCUACAGUGGCAUUUGCACAUAAUAAUGUGAAUGGUUUUAAAAUGAUAUAAAAGUAAAUGUGUUUUACCUUCAAGUUUCCUAAGAUGAAAUACUCAAGAAAAACUAUUUUAAGGUCAAGAAGGUAAUGAAAGAGAACCAUCCAAUCUUUUCUCAUCUGCAAAUGUCCCUGAGAUUUUGGUUAAGAUUUGUUACAUUAAAAAAUAACAAACUCCACUAGUAUGGCAAUAUGUAAAUCAAUGGAUGUGUAACUGAUGUGAUUCUGCAAUCUGUGUAUGGGGUGAAGGUGGGAGUUCAUAACCCACUUGAAUCAAAGUGUGGAAUAUGAUAUGUCAAGAAAUUUGUAAUGUUUUG